CAGCCGCCGCGGUAAUACAGAGGGUGCAAGCGUUAAUCGGAAUUACUGGGCGUAAAGCGCGCGUAGGUGGUUCGCCAAGUUGGAUGUGAAAUCCCCGGGCUCAACCUGGGAACUGCAUCCAAAACUGGCGAGCUAGAGUAUGGUAGAGGGUGGUGGAAUUUCCUGUGUUGCGGUGAAAUGCGUAGAUAUAGGAAGGAACAUCAGUGGCGAAGGCGACCACCUGGACUGAUACUGACACUGAGGUGCGAAAGCGUGGGGAGCAAACAGGAUUAGAUACCCCCGUAGUCCCUGUCUCUUAUAC
rnacentral:rRNA from 1 species